rnacentral:lncRNA from 1 species
CUUCAGUCAACCACAGGCAGUCAAAUGUUCAAACCAGGUCAAAUAAGCCUUCUGGGGCUGAUUUGGUCGCAGGCAGCAGAGCAGUUGAAGAAGCAAAUUAGUAAAUGGUAGCAGAACAGAAUCUGUUCCAAGCACACAUGAUCCCAGGAAUGGAUGGAGAGAGAUGUCAGUCAUGGGACUUUCCACAGAGAAGGUGGGAGCAGAGACACAGCCACAUUGUACUGUGAGGUUGGUGAAGGUCUCAAAAAAGGAUUAAGCAAAUGACAACAAAGAUAAUACCUUCCAUUUAUCACUCUAAUUACAUACAGCCCCUUCUGCAUUGUCUUUGGUUUGUUGAUUGAGAGGGAAAAAUAUCUUCUUUCUUAAAUAAUCCAGAAAAAAACUUUUAUUUAUUUAAGACACAGUCUUGCUCUGUCUUCCAGGCUGGAGUGCAGUGGUGUGACCAUGGUAUACUACAGCUUCAAACUCCUGGGCUCAAGUGAUCCUUCUACCUCAGCCUCCUAAGUAGCUGGGACUAGAGGUGCACACCACAGUGCCCAGUUAUUUUUUUAUCUUUAUCUUUGUAGAGACAGGGGUCUCACUAUGUUAUACAGGUGGCUCUCGGAACUCCUCAAGUGAUCUUCCUGCAUCAGCCUCCCAAAG